CAGGGGGUGGUGAAUCCCUUCCUCCCGGGAGAUGCACCUGCUGAUCCAGCUGCCAGAGCUCCACUGGUACAGGUGGAUGCAGCCCCCGCGGCCGCAGCAGCCCCUGCAGAGGAAGUGUCUGAGGAGGAGGCAGAGGAGGGGGCUGCCCCCAAAGCAGCUGCUGCUGGUGGUGCCCC